rnacentral:rRNA from 1 species
UGAGGAAUUUUGGGCAAUGGGCGAAAGCCUGACCCAGCGACGCCGCGUGGUGGAUGAAGGCCUUCGGGUCGUAAACUCCUGUUCUGGGGGAAGAAAACGGGAUGCGUGAAGAAUUUAUCCCGCUGACGGUACCCCAGGAGAAAGCUCCGGCUAAUUACGUGCCAGCAGCCGCGGUAAUACGUAAGGAGCAAGCGUUGUCCGGAUUUACUGGGCGUAAAGCGCUCGUAGGCGGCCGAUCAGGUCUCGUGUAAAAUCCCCCGGCUCA